rnacentral:lncRNA from 1 species
CGGAGGAGCGAUUUUACUUGGGAACCUGCAGAAGCCUUUUGUCAAACAGUAGCAGUUUAUGAAUUAAAUUCAUUCAAAACCGGUCCUCCAUCUACAAAUUGUUGGUGAAGGUUUACAAAAUGUUGGUGAGGAGUCUCAUGAUCAUGAAAUGAUUGAAGACGAUUUCUCGAAGGUUGAAAUUUCAUGGAGUUUUGGUUAGAGUGGUUGUAUAUGAUUUUACUUUUGAUUGUCGGGGUUUACAGACUCUGCCCCACCCAUUGUAUGUUUUCUCAAGUAAUAUAAUUUGGGCGUGAGGGUCUAGCCCCCCAGCUUCGACUGGGUUUCAGCCCUCUUAAAUAUAUGUUUGUGUAUUAAAAAAAAAGAAGACAUGUUUUGAGCCUUCGCAGUAUGCACUAAAAAACUUAGGACCAGCCCUAACAACACCUUGGCAAGGACGGAGCCACCAUAGACUUACUGGGGGCGGAUACCAUGCAAGAUUAUUUACCUUGUUAUGGCAUCUAAUGCUCCUAAGUUGUUCGUGAAAGUUCUUGCAGCACAUAGAAAAGUGUGACCUUUAAAUUGUCAAGAGGCCACAAAAGAAAGUAAACCCAUCCUGAUGUAUCUUGAAAUAAAUAAAAUUCGUAAAAGAAAAUAAAAAAGUUAACCCGUUCAAAUGUGAAGGAAUGGGCAUUGUGACGUUAUUUUGUGUACAAACUAAAAUCGGAGAUUUGUAUAUUUGUCCAAUUACUAGACCGAAAGAAAAACAAAAAAACAAAAGGAAAGGAUGGGAUUCGAUCUGCACGUUUGACAUACAGUUCUGUAUAUGCAAUUUUGAAAAAAUUUGAUGUUUCAUUGUAAAUUAAUUGAUAAUAUGGUGAGUUUUUAAUUACGUAUAAGCACAUGUGAUGUUUUUUUUUUAUUGAUGUGAGAUUCAUACUCUCAACACUUACUCAUGGAACGUGAAACCUAUUAAACAUAUAUAUGUAAAUCAAAACAUCAAAGUAACAUUAUUCUAAACCUAUUAUAAAUGCAUUGUGUUAUAACUUGUUACAUGACAUUACAUGUUUAAUUUAAAAUACCCUGAAAUAAUAAUCGGUUGUAUACAAGUUUGUUUCCUUAUUCAUGAUUGUAAAUGUGGACAAAGGGGUAUAUGCAAAGGACAAGGAUUGUCUGCCCUCCACUUCCGGUGCCCUCCCCGUGCCCUCCUGUUUUGUGUGGUUACUGUUAAGCCACGUCAACAUUUUAUAUUGUUUUUUUUUAUAGAUAUAAUAAGACAAAAAUGAAUAGUAAAAUAAAAUAUUGACGUGGUUUAACCAUGACCACACAAACAGGAGGGCACGGAAAAGACACCGGAAGUGGAGGGCAGACAAUCCUUAUCCAUAUGCAUAGACUUAGUGGGGGCGGAUGCCAUGCAAGAUUAUUUACCUUGGCAGGGACGGAGCCACCAUAGGCUUACUGGGGGCGGAUGCCAUGCAAGAUUAUUUACCUUUUUAUGGCAUCUAAUGCUCCUAAGUUGUUCUUGAAAGUUCUUGCAGCAGAUAGAAAAGUGUGAUCUUUAAAUUGUCAAGAAGCCACAAAAGAAAGCAAACCCAAAUUUUAAUGUAAUUUCUCAUUUUCCCUAAAAAUAUAUGAAAUUGCAUUUUAGUCCCCUUAUGGCUUAUGCUCACUCACCGAGUUCCGAAUCCCUUUCGGAGGUUUUCUCCAUUUAUCCUCCUCUCUAUGCUUGCCACGUGGCAGCACCACACCACCAAGUCCCCUUCUCCCUUCUCUUUCCCCUCCCCGAGUCAACUCUCUCCCUCUCCUUCAGCUCUUUCUCUCUCCCCCGAACUCGCCCACAUCUCCCUCGCACUCUCUCCUUCUCCCCGAUCUACACAGACACCAUCUUCACCACUUGUUGGCAGUGACGACGACCCUCGACCUCGACCAAGCACCAAACUCUCCCUCUCUCGUUCCCGACACCGUUGCAGUCACUGUACAAGCUUUUCCGACCAAGGUAAGUCGAAAUCACCCUCCGAUCUCCUCUCCUCGUAGUCUAGACUUAUUGUUUUUAAGUGGAAAAAUGGUUUUGGUGAAGGUUAGGCACGAAAACAGCUCGGGGAAACAGUUUUCAAUUUCCGUCGAGCCCCGUGCCCUUCAGCAGGUUUCCGGCCAGUUCCGGCCGUCCCACGACGUGAGUUAGGUAUGAACUCUUCCCCACGUCUCACUUGUCAUUUUAAUACAUAGAUCGUACCUUAACGUUUGGUGUUGCCGUCGACCGGAGCUAGGAAGGCUCCGGCCUUGUUCCCCGGCGAGAAACGGACCAGGCCCUUGUGUCGUUGUAGAACUGGGCCUUCGGGCCGUUGAGCCUGAGCCCAAAGCCUUAGGGCAGCCCAAACCUAAACCCCUGAAUUAAGGCCUUCGGGCCGAGACUGCCAAGAGCCGUUGGCCCAAUUAUUGGGCCCUAAGCCCAAAACCUUUAAGCCCUAAGAGCUAAACCCACUAAACCCAAAACCUUAGAUCCGCAAAACCCCCUAAGCCCAACCCACUGGGCCCAAGACCCAAAACUUAAGCCCAACCCGGUCCAACCCAAAGCCCUAAUCGUUGACCCUACGGGCCGUUGACUUGGUCAACAGUCAACUUUGACUUUGACCGGUCAAUGCUUUAUUUUCUUAUAGUAAAAAUAAAAUAAAAUCUUUCUCCCCUAGAAGGCAGAUAAGUAAACAUUAUGAUUUUUGAAAAAAAAUCCGAAGCCUCGUGAAGGACUGAACAGCUCUUGUUGCUGUUCACUAUCCUUACUUGCAGAUAAGUAAACGUUGUGGGAAUAAUGCUGCCUUUAGUUCUUGUUGCUGGUUGAAAAGGACUGAACAGCACCGAAUCAGUGAAGGAGAAGGAGCCACGUCUAAAGUAAAUCUAUCAUCAAUUAGCUUUUUAUCUGAUAGGAAUCUACCCCUGAAUUAUUGGAUGAAAUUAUUGAAGACGAUUUCUUGAAGGUUGAAAUUUCAUGGAGUUUUGCUUAGAGUGGUUGUAUAUGAUUUUACUUUUGAUUGUCGGGGUUUACAGACGCUGCUCCACCCAUUGUAUGUUUUCUCAAGUAAUAUAAUAUGGGCGUGAGGGCCUAGCCCCCCAGCUUCAACUGGGUUCCAGCCCUCUUUAAAUAUAUAUAUAUUUUUUUUAAAUAUAUGUUUGUGUAUUAAAAAAUGCACGUUUUGAGCCUUCGCAUUGUGCACUAAAAACCUUAGGAUCGACCCUGACAACACCUUGGCAAGGAUGGAGCCACCAUAGGCUUACUGGGG